GAUGAACGCUGGCGGCGUGCUUAACACAUGCAAGUCGAACGAUGAAGCCCAGCUUGCUGGGUGGAUUAGUGGCGAACGGGUGAGUAACACGUGAGUAACCUGCCCUUGACUCUGGGAUAAGCCUGGGAAACUGGGUCUAAUACCGGAUACGACCAUUGCCCGCAUGGGCUGGUGGUGGAAAGCUUUUGUGGUUUUGGAUGGACUCGCGGCCUAUCAGCUUGUUGGUGAGGUAAUGGCUCACCAAGGCGACGACGGGUAGCCGGCCUGAGAGGGUGACCGGCCACACUGGGACUGAGACACGGCCCAGACUCCUACGGGAGGCAGCAGUGGGGAAUAUUGCACAAUGGGCGAAAGCCUGAUGCAGCGACGCCGCGUGAGGGAUGACGGCCUUCGGGUUGUAAACCUCUUUCAGUAGGGAAGAAGCGAGAGUGACGGUACCUGCAGAAGAAGCGCCGGCUAACUACGUG
rnacentral:rRNA from 1 species